UACGUAGGUGACAAGCGUUGUCCGGAUUUACUGGGCGUAAAGAGCGCGCAGGCGGUCGUUCAAGUCGAGUGUGAAAGCCCCCGGCUCAACUGGGGAGGGUCAUUCGAUACUGUUCGACUCGAAGGCAGGAGAGGGAAGUGGAAUUCCGGGUGUAGUGGUGAAAUGCGUAGAUAUCCGGAGGAACACCAGUGGCGAAGGCGACUUUCUGGCCUGUUCUUGACGCUGAGGCGCGAAAGCUAGGGGAGCAAACAGG
rnacentral:rRNA from 1 species